rnacentral:rRNA from 1 species
GUACACUCCUACGGGAGGCAGCAGUGGGGAAUUUUGGACAAUGGGCGAAAGCCUGAUCCAGCAAUGCCGCGUGAGUGAAGAAGGCCUUCGGGUUGUAAAGCUCUUUUGUCAGGGAAGAAACGGUGAAAGCUAAUAUCUUUUGCUAAUGACGGUACCUGAAGAAUAAGCACCGGCUAACUACGUGCCAGCAGCCGCGGUAAUACGUAGGGUGCAAGCGUUAAUCGGAAUUACUGGGCGUAAAGCGUGCGCAGGCGGUUUUGUAAGUCUGAUGUGAAAUCCCCGGGCUCAACCUGGGAAUUGCAUUGGAGACUGCAAGGCUAGAAUCUGGCAGAGGGGGGUAGAAUUCCACGUGUAGCAGUGAAAUGCGUAGAUAUGUGGAGGAACACCGAUGGCGAAGGCAGCCCCCUGGGUCAAGAUUGACGCUCAUGCACGAAAGCGUGGGGAGCAAACAGGAUUAGAAACCCGGGUAGUCCC